CCUGAAAGGGUAGGGUGCCCGCAAGGGAGCGUGGAGACAGGUGGUGCAUGGCUGUCGUCGGCUCGUGUCGUGAGAUGUUGGGUUAAGUCCCGCAACGAGCGCAACCCUCACCCCUAGUUGCCACCGGGUAAAGCCGAGCACUCGAGGGGAACUGCCAGCGUCAAGCUGGAGGAAGGCGGGGAUGACGUCAAGUCAUCAUGCCCCUUACGUCCUGGGCUACACACGUGCUACAAUGGCCAGUACAGAGGGAUGCGAGACCGCGAGGUGGAGCCAAUCCCAAAAAGCUGGUCUAAGUUCAGAUUGCAGUCUGCAACUCGACUGCAUGAAGUAGGAAUCGUAGUAAUCGCGCAUCAGCACGGCGCGGUGAAUACGUUCCCGGGCCUUGUACACACCGCCGUCACACCACGAAAGCUGG
rnacentral:rRNA from 1 species